rnacentral:pre_miRNA from 1 species
AGUAGGAUUGCUGGGCCAUAUGGUAAAUAUAGUUUUAAAUUUUGAAGAAACUACUAAGCUGCUUUCCAAAGUGUGUGCCCCAUUUUUAAAUUCACACCAGUGAU